rnacentral:rRNA from 1 species
UACAGAGGUCCCGAGCGUUGUUCGGAUUCACUGGGCGUAAAGGGUGCGCAGGUGGCAUGGCAAGUUUGGUGUGAAAGCUUCGGGCUUAACCCGGAAAUGGCAUUGAAAACUGCUGUGCUGGAGGAUCGGAGGGGGGACUGGAAUUCUUGGUGUAGCAGUGAAAUGCGUAGAUAUCAAGAGGAACACCAGUGGCGAAGGCGAGUCCCUGGACGAUACCUGACACUGAGGCACGAAAGCCAAGGGAGCAAACAGG